rnacentral:rRNA from 1 species
CCUACGGGAGGCAGCAGUAGGGAAUAUUGCUCAAUGGGGGAAACCCUGAAGCAGCAACGCCGCGUGAAGGAUGAAGGUUUUCGGAUUGUAAACCCCUUUUGUUAGAGAAGAUAAUGACGGUAUCUAACGAAUAAGCACCGGCUAACUCCGUGCCAGCAGCCGCGGUAAUACGGAGGGUGCAAGCGUUACUCGGAAUCACUGGGCGUAAAGAGCGCGUAGGCGGGAUUGUAAGUCAGAUGUGAAAUCCUAUGGCCUAACCAUAGAACUGCAUUUGAAACUGUUAUUCUGGAGUAUGGGAGGGGUAGGUGGAAUUCUUGGGGUAGGGGUAAAAU